GAACUUGGAGUAGCAACAGACAAGCUCGUCUUUGGAACUGGGGUAAUUUUUUCCGUUGAGCCAAGUAAUCAAGAAGAAUCUGCUGCAGAAGUAAUCAUGCUUAAAUCAGAAGAACCCAAACAACAUGACGACAAACUGAACGUGGCGUGUUUGGCAAGGACUUUCUACCCAAAGAGCAUCAGCCUUGAUGCAUCCAGCGGUGACGUUGUGUAUGACCUGGAGGCACCCCUCGUCGCACCCGAGGGGAUGUACAGCAGCAUAAAGGUCGUUGAGGUAGAACCAGACACAGAGGUGACCUGCAAGGCUGUGCACCAGGGGAACAAGACCGCAGCCAGCGUUCUUCUGCCAGACGAGAAAACUGAAGAAUCAGAAACAGUUAAUGCUUGCAGCAUUACAGACGGCUCUACAAAAGAUGUCCAAACGGAGAAAGUGAAUAUGCUGUUCAUGGCUGUUUUGGGUUUGAGAGUCUUGCUGGCAAAAAGCAUCGCCUUCAGCACAGUCAUGACCAUCCAGCUGUUUAGAGACAUCAGCUCAGCCGCUCCUGCUUCCACUGGAGAAGUUACUGGAGCCUCCACAUGGCACCUCGUCCCCAACCUGCUUUUGCAUCGAGCUAGCCCAGUGUGUCUCAGGUUCUACCCGAAAUCUUCUGCUCGUGGUUCCAAGUGGCAGAGCACAAAGUCUGGAUGA